rnacentral:rRNA from 1 species
AGUAUAGCAAUCUAUACAGUGAAACUGCGAAUGGCUCAUUAAAUCAGUUAUCGUUUAUUUGAUAGUACCUUACUACUUGGAUAACCGUGGUAAUUCUAGAGCUAAUACAUGCUAAAAACCUCGACUUCGGAAGGGGUGUAUUUAUUAGAUAAAAAACCAAUGCCCUUCGGGGCUCCUUGGUGAUUCAUGAUAACUUAACGAAUCGCAUGGCCUUGUGCCGGCGAUGGUUCAUUCAAAUUUCUGCCCUAUCAACUUUCGAUGGUAGGAUAGUGGCCUACCAUGGUUUCAACGGGUAACGGGGAAUUAGGGUUCUAUUCCGGAGAGGGAGCCUGAGAAACGGCUACCACAUCCAAGGAAGGCAGCAGGCGCGCAAAUUACCCAAUCCCGACACGGGGAGGUAGUGACAAUAAAUACUGAUACAGGGCUCUUUUGGGUCUUGUAAUUGGAAUGAGUACAAUUUAAAUCCCUUAACGAGGAACAAUUGGAGGGCAAGUCUGGUGCCAGCAGCCGCGGUAAUUCCAGCUCCAAUAGCGUAUAUUAAAGUUGUUGCAGUUAAAAAGCUCGUAGUUGAACCUUGGGCCUGGUUGGUCGGUCCGCCUCGCGGCGUGCACUGAUCCGACCGGGCCUUUCCUUCUGGGGAACCGCAUGCCCUUCAUUGGGUGUGUUGGGGAUCCAGGACUUUUACUUUGAAAAAAUUAGAGUGUUCAAAGCAGGCAUAUGCUCGAAUACAUUAGCAUGGAAUAAUAGAAUAGGACGUGUGGUUCUAUUUUGUUGGUUUCUAGGACCGCCGUAAUGAUUAAUAGGGAUAGUCGGGGGCAUCAGUAUUCCGUUGUCAGAGGUGAAAUUCUUGGAUUUACGGAAGACUAACUACUGCGAAAGCAUUUGCCAAGGAUGUUUUCAUUAAUCAGUGAACGAAAGUUAGGGGAUCGAGACGAUCAGAUACCGUCGUAGUCUUACCAUAACUAUGCCGACUAGGGAUCG